AAACAACAGGACUCAAGCAUUUCGCAAGCACCUCAUGUUUCUCCUUUGAAAAUAUUAAAUUUUUGUUAUGCUGGUUUAGAUGAAGGUAUUAAGUGUCAAGGAUUGAACCUCAAUUCGGUGGCACUUGAAUACCAUCAUCUAAAGCAAGCCUCACAAAAAUUUAUUAUUUUCAAAGGGAAAACAUGAGGUGUUUGGCGAAAUGCUUGAGUCCUGUUGUU
rnacentral:pre_miRNA from 1 species